AUUGAACGCUGGCGGCAGGCCUAACACAUGCAAGUCGAGCGGAUGAAGGGAGCUUGCUCCUGGAUUCAGCGGCGGACGGGUGAGUAAUGCCUAGGAAUCUGCCUGGUAGUGGGGGAUAACGUCCGGAAACGGGCGCUAAUACCGCAUACGUCCUGAGGGAGAAAGUGGGGGAUCUUCGGACCUCACGCUAUCAGAUGAGCCCAGGUCGGAUUAGCUAGUUGGUGGGGUAAAGGCCUACCAAGGCGACGAUCCGUAACAGGUCUGAGAGGAUGAUCAGUCACACGGGAACUGAGACGCGUUCCAGGCUCGUAGGGGAUGCAGCAGAGGGAAAUAUUGGACAAGGGGCGGAAGCCUGACCCAGCCAUGCCGCGUGUGUGAAGAAGGUCUGCGGAUGGUAAAGCACUUUUAGAUGGGAGGAAGGGCAGUAAGUUAAGACCUGGCUGUUUUGACGUUACCGACAGAAGAAGCACCGGCUAACAUCGU
rnacentral:rRNA from 1 species